GAUGAACGCUGGCGGCGUGCCUAAUACAUGCAAGUCGAGCGAACAGACGAGGAGCUUGCUCCUCUGACGUUAGCGGCGGACGGGUGAGUAACACGUGGAUAACCUACCUAUAAGACUGGGAUAACUUCGGGAAACCGGAGCUAAUACCGGAUAAUAUAUUGAACCGCAUGGUUCAAUAGUGAAAGACGGUUUUGCUGUCACUUAUAGAUGGAUCCGCGCCGCAUUAGCUAGUUGGUAAGGUAACGGCUUACCAAGGCGACGAUGCGUAGCCGACCUGAGAGGGUGAACGGCCACACUGGAACUGAGACACGGUCCAGACUCCUACGGGAGGCAGCAGUAGGGAAUCUUCCGCAAAGGGCGAAAGCCUGACGGAGCAACGCCGCGUGAGUGAUGAAGGUCUGCGGACCGUAAAACGCUGUUAGUAGGGAAGAACAAAUGUGGAAGUAACUAUGCACGUCUUGACGGUACCUAAUCAGAAAGCCACGGCUAACUACGUG
rnacentral:rRNA from 1 species